AGUGAACGCUGGCGGUAGGCCUAACACAUGCAAGUCGAACGGCAGCACAGUAAGAGCUUGCUCUUACGGGUGGCGAGUGGCGGACGGGUGAGGAAUACAUCGGAAUCUACUUUUUCGUGGGGGAUAACGUAGGGAAACUUACGCUAAUACCGCAUACGACAUACGGGUGAAAGCAGGGGAUCUUCGGACCUUGCGCGAUUGAAUGAGCCGAUGUCGGAUUAGCUAGUUGGCGGGGUAAAGGCCCACCAAGGCGGCGAUCCGUAGCUGGUCUGAGAGGAUGAUCAGCCACACUGGAACUGAGACACGGUCCAGACUCCUACGGGAGGCAGCAGUGGGGAAUAUUGGACAAUGGGCGCAAGCCUGAUCCAGCCAUACCGCGUGGGUGAAGAAGGCCUUCGGGUUGUAAAGCCCUUUUGUUGGGAAAGAAAAGCAGCAGGUUAAUACCCCGCUGUUCUGACGGUACCCAAAGAAUAAGCACCGGCUAACUUCGUG
rnacentral:rRNA from 1 species